CACGUAGGGCGCGAGCGUUGUCCGGAAUUAUUGGGCGUAAAGAGCUCGUAGGCGGCCUGUUGCGUCCGCUGUGAAAGCCCGGGGCUUAACCCCGGGUCUGCAGUGGAUACGGGCAGGCUAGAGGUAGGUAGGGGAGAAUGGAAUUCCCGGUGUAGCGGUGAAAUGCGCAGAUAUCGGGAGGAACACCGGUGGCGAAGGCGGAUCUCUGGGCCAUUACUGACGCUGAGGAGCGAAAGCGUGGGGAGCGAACAGG
rnacentral:rRNA from 1 species